rnacentral:rRNA from 1 species
AUUGAACGCUGGCGGCAUGCCUUACACAUGCAAGUCGAACGGCAGCGGACCUUCGGGUGCCGGCGAGUGGCGAACGGGUGAGUAAUAUAUCGGAACGUACCUUUCAGUGGGGGAUAACGUAGCGAAAGUUACGCUAAUACCGCAUAUUCUGUGAGCAGGAAAGCAGGGGAUCGCAAGACCUUGCGCUGAUUGAGCGGCCGAUAUCAGAUUAGCUAGUUGGUGAGGUAAAGGCUCACCAAGGCGACGAUCUGUAGCGGGUCUGAGAGGAUGAUCCGCCACACUGGAACUGAGACACGGUCCAGACUCCUACGGGAGGCAGCAGUGGGGGAAUUUUGGACAAUGGGCGCAAGUACUGAUCCAGCAAUGCCGCGUGCAGGACGAAGGCC